GUACAUUUGUAGUGCUCAGCACAACAUUAUUAUUCGUUACAUUCGUGUGGGUGUAAAAAAUCCUCAGCCAGCCGAAGCCAGCAGAGGCAAAGGUGCACAAAUGGGUGGUCGAUAUAAAUGCCCCCCAACGUGCACAUGCUCUUGAAAGAGCCAGCACUGAAGGUAGACAAUUUAACAUCGGUAAUGAUCCUUCCGCAGGUUCACCUACGGAAA
rnacentral:misc_RNA from 1 species